rnacentral:lncRNA from 1 species
AUCUUGAAGAUCUUGGCUUUCUUGAUUAUUGGAGAGUGAAUUAAGGAAAAGCAAACUUGAAGAAUAAAUAAUGAUCAUCAACUUCAACUUUAUUACACUGAUCGGAAACUAACUAUGAUGAAGCCGAAAACAUUGCAUGCUUAGUUACCCAAACUAAAGCAUUGGUUUUAUUGCCAUUCACAAAUUAAACUACGAGGUAACUAAAUAAAAUAAAAUGAAAUGAAAGAAAUUACAAUUGAAUGUCUGAAAGCAAAUAAAUGAUGCUAGUUAUUAGCUUCCCAUUUGUUGGUGGUGAGAGUGAUGUAAGCAGAAGCCUUCUUGUCGAUGCCGGGCUCCGCCACCCACCGCCCUCUGUCUUCGUCGCUCGGAUACACUUUGUAAGCCUUCACGUAGUCGUCGCCGCCGUCGCCGCCUCUCGACCUCUUGCUUCUGAACAGACCAAAUAGAGAGAAACCAGAAUGUUUCUUCUGCUGCUUGUUGCCUGCCAUUAUAUGUAUAUAUACUUCUUUUUUUCUCUCUUUGUUGGAGAGAAGAAGAAGAAGAAGAAGAAGAGAGAGAAAGUGUUUGUUGUGUUUGUUGUGUUGUGUUUGAUACUUUGAUGAAUGGUGUGUGGUAUUUAUAGUAGGUUAGUAGGGAAUCUAGACAACUUCACAGCCGCUGAUUUUAU